rnacentral:rRNA from 1 species
GCUUAGCCCUAAACCAAAAUAGUUAUCAUAACAAUACUAUUCGCCAGAGCACUACUAGCAACAGCUUAAAACUCAAAGGACUUGGCGGUGCUUUAUAUCCCUCUAGAGGAGCCUGUUCUGUAAUCGAUAAACCCCGAUAAACCUCACCAACCCUUGCCAAUACAGCCUAUAUACCGCCAUCUUCAGCAAACCCUAAAAAGGAAGCACAGUAAGCAAAAACAUGGAGCAUAAAAACGUUAGGUCAAGGUGUAGCCUAUGGGUUGGAAAGAAAUGGGCUACAUUUUCUAACAUAGAAUAUCAACGAAAAUUUUCGUGAAACCGAAAAUGGAAGGAGGAUUUAGUAGUAAAUUAAGAAUAGAGAGCUUAAUUGAAUAA